UACGGAGGGUGCAAGCGUUAUCCGGAUUUACUGGGUUUAAAGGGUGUGUAGGCGGGCAUUUAAGUCUGGGGUGAAAUCUCCGAGCUCAACUCGGAAACUGCCUUGGAUACUGGGAAGCUUGAGUCCGGAAGAGGUGAGUGGAACUCCGAGUGUAGAGGUGAAAUUCGUAGAUAUUCGGAAGAACACCAGUGGCGAAGGCGGCUCACUGGUCCGGUACUGACGCUGAGGUGCGAAAGCGUGGGGAGCAAACAGG
rnacentral:rRNA from 1 species